AGAGAUUGCUGUGGAUCUGUAGAUUGUUUUGGGUAGUGUGGACAUUUUAACAAUAUUAAUUCUUAUAAUCCAUAGGCAUUGGUAUGUGUCAUCUUGAGUUUCUUUCAUCAGUGUCUUUUAGUUGUCAUAGUAUAGGAUUUUCACCUCUUUAAAUAUUCCUAGGUAUUUUCUUUGUGAUGCAAUUACAGACGGUAUUAUUUUCUUUCUUUCUUUUUUUUUUUUUUUUUCUGAUAGCUCCUUCUUAGUGUAUAGAACUGCAACUGAUUUCUGCAUGUUAAUUUUCUAUACUGCUUCUUGACUGAAUUCAUUUAUAGUUAUGAUAAAUGAAUUUUGGUGGAGUCUUCAAGAUUUUUUUUAUGUAUACUAUGUCAACUGCAAAUAGUGACUUUUGCUGCUACUUUUCCCAUUUGGAUGUCUUUUGUUCUUCUUUCAUGAUAGCUAGAAUUCCCAAUACUCUGUUGAAUAAAAGUUGCAAGAGUGGGCAUCCCUGUCUUGUUCCGAUCUUAGAGGAAAACUUUCAGCUAUGAAGUGUUUCAUUAUAAAGCUACUACAUUCGACCAAUAUUUAAAAAAAUUUCAACUCCAUUAUGCUGCCAUUUACAUUACAUAUUAACUU